rnacentral:lncRNA from 10 species
GUAAGCCCACCUGAGCCACAGAACCUUCUCCCUCCCUACAAAAGGCUCAGGAGUAGGAGGCACCAGCCAAGGAUGUGAUCCAUCCGCAUCUCUGCAGACCAUGAUUCAGUACGACAUCUGAAAUGAUGAAAAAGAUGUACAUUUAAAAUAUGUGCAACAAUACUACAGGACUACAAAUGAUAGAUAACCUCCAAAGUUGAAAGGCAACGGGAUGAGAUUAAAGGAAGAAACCACAAGCCAAAAAUAUGACAGGAAGGACUGUGGCCACGAGAUGUGUGGUUGGAGAACCACAAUGAAAAGAUCUUGGCAAUUUACACCAGAGAAAUACAAAUGGCAGCCAACCAUCAAAUUGUCCUUUGAAAGAAUUAUAUCUAAUAAAACUAGGAAUAUGCAUACUAU